GAGAGAAACGAGCUGGCGGAGAGGAGCAGAAGGCAGGAGGGGAAAUCUGGCACAACGGCUGGGAGAGGAAACUUGAUGCUUCUGGGCCACCAUUUGCCAGGGCCUCGCUCGAGAUGAGACUGCAAAGAAGCAUAAAAUGAAUAGACAAUCCAACCAACCAAAGACCGGGGGCAGCAGCAGGCCAGCAAGACGGCAUCUUCUCCUUCCCAGCCUAGAAGCCCUGUGAAAUCGAGGAUCUUCCCCCUAAAACACAUACACACAAGAUAUGUGCAAUCAAGCUGCCACCGCUUGGUAAAAAGCCAUGGUGCCUAACCAAAAAGGAUCAGGAACAGAUCCUUGAAUCAGCUGUCACUUCUAUAGAAUGGGAUUUUUUUUUCCUUCCUCCUUAACCUGCGCUGGAAAUUGCCGUUGGCUUUAUACAUCUCUAUAGAGAGAGGCUAAAGAGUCUUGCGUGAGAAAGAAGCAAUUUACAAUGCAAAUAGAGGCCUGUGAAGGGACGGAUGCUGCUGCUCACUCGUAACAGCUUGCUGCACCUUAAUAGCUGGUUUUAUUUUCUGAUAUUAAUAGAUGAAUUGUUGGCUAACGCUGCCGGAGAUUACUUGCUGAAAGGAAAAAGAAAAGUUCGGAAUAAACUCUGAAGGCAACAGAUCUCGUUUGGAUGUUUUAGCCGCGCACACACACAAACAGAAACCAGGUCAUAUUUACAUAAAAGGAGGAAUCUUAAGCGCGGCAAGUAUCCUGGACGACCACUCUUCGGUACUGCCAGAAAGGAUCAGGACCUGGAGUCUGGCAAGAGGAAGACAGAGGCCUGUGUGGGAAGCGAGUUGUUAUCUUUGGUUAUCUAGCUGUAUGAGUGUAUUGGUCUUCAUAAAGCUA
rnacentral:lncRNA from 1 species